rnacentral:rRNA from 1 species
AUUCUAGAGCUAAUACAUGCUGUAAUGCCCGACUUUUUGGAAGGGCCGUAUUUAUUAGAUAUCAACCAAUAAGACUUGUUCUAUUGUGGUGAAUCAUAGUAACUGAUCGGAUCGCAGGCAAGCCCUGCGACAAACCAUUCAAGUUUCUGCCCCAUCAGCUUACGAUGGUAGUGUAUUGGACUACCAUGGCUUUUACGGGUAACGGAGGAUUAGGGUUCGAUUCCGGAGAGGGAGCCUGAGAAACGGCUACCACAUCUAAGGAAGGCAGCAGGCGCGUAAAUUACCCAAUCCUGACUCAGGGAGGUAGUG